GUGUUCCUUCAGCAGCAGCUUGGCAUGAAGUGCUUUUGAGAGAGACCAAGGGAAAAAUAUGCUGAAUGUUCUCCAAUCUUUCACAGGAGAAUACCAAAAUAUUCAUGAGGUAUAUGCUCAAGACUCUUGCAGCUCUGAAAACUCUCCUUUUCAUCUCCCAAGAGCGGGAUGGAAGAGACAGAGUGGGCACCACACAAUCAGAUGGCACACAGGAUCUGGGGCAGCACAGCAUUCCCGUCAGUCAGGAUCUUUUGGGAGCUGCUGCAGGAGCCAGAACCAUCUGGAAACCUGUCCUGGGAGCAAGAACUCAGAGCCUGAAUGUGCCUCAGAGGCAGCAGGGGCAGCUUGCCCCAGUGUGCCUCACUGAACUGAAGAACAAAGAUGUCCUGAUGGAGCUGGAGAGGGUGCCCAAGAGAUGUCACCUGCACUCAGUGGCAGCACAUGGGACAGCACCUUGGCACAUCCCUCAGCCUCAGCACUCCAAGUUGUCUUGAUCUCCACCUGGGUCACCCCUUGGGUCAUUCUGCCAUCAGCUGCCUGGCAUUUGUGUCCAUUUGUGUCCUGUGUCUUGUACCAACCUGCAAUCCAGGGGACGCCAGGGAUCCCAGCACACCUUUUACCACUGUGCUCACAGUAACAAAAUUCACUUGAAUUUUGGCCAUGGAGUACAGAUUGUUUGAAACAAUGAAGGAAUAUUUUCAUCUGUUCUCUGAACAAUAAUGAACAGAUUUAUGUAUUUGUUUAACAAUCAGUCAUGCAUGAGAUGCAACAAUUUCCAGUUCCUGUUUCUUGUCUAUCUUCCUGUUUUUAAAAAGUAUUCAAUAAAAAGAAAGUAUUGCUCAAA